UACACACCGCCCGUCGCUACUACCGAUUGAAUGGCUCAGUGAGGCUUUCGGACUGGCCCAGAGAGGUGGGCAACUACCACUCAGGGCCGGAAAGUUAUCCAAACUCGGUCAUUUAGAGGAAGUAAAAGUCGUAACAAGGUCUCCGUUGGUGAACCAGCGGAGGGAUCAUUACUGAGUUACCGCUCUACAACCCUUUGUGAACAUACCUAACCGUUGCUUCGGCGGGCAGGGGAAGCCUCUCGCGGGCCUCCCCUCCCGGCGCCGGCCCCACCACGGGGACGGGGCGCCCGCCGGAGGAAACCAAACUCUAUUUACACGACGUCUCUUCUGAGUGGCACAAGCAAAUAAUUAAAACUUUUAACAACGGAUCUCUUGGUUCUGGCAUCGAUGAAGAACGCAGCGAAAUGCGAUAAGUAAUGUGAAUUGCAGAAUUCAGUGAAUCAUCGAAUCUUUGAACGCACAUUGCGCUCGCCAGCAUUCUGGCGAGCAUGCCUGUUCGAGCGUCAUUUCAACCCUCAAGCACCGCUUGGUUUUGGGGCCCCACGGCAGACGUGGGCCCUUAAAGGUAGUGGCGGACCCUCCCGGAGCCUCCUUUGCGUAGUAACUAACGUCUCGCACUGGGAUCCGGAGGGACUCUUGCCGUAAAACCCCCAAAUUCUUUACAGGUUGACCUCGGAUCAGGUAGGAAUACCCGCUGAACUUAA
rnacentral:rRNA from 1 species